AUUGAACGCUGGCGGCAUGCCUUACACAUGCAAGUCGAACGGUAACGGGCCUUCGGGUGCCGACGAGUGGCGAACGGGUGAGUAAUGUAUCGGAACGUACCUUUCAGUGGGGGAUAACGUAGCGAAAGUUACGCUAAUACCGCAUAUUCUGUGAGCAGGAAAGCAGGGGAUCGCAAGACCUUGCGCUGAUUGAGCGGCCGAUAUCAGAUUAGCUAGUUGGUGAGGUAAAGGCUCACCAAGGCGACGAUCUGUAGCGGGUCUGAGAGGAUGAUCCGCCACACUGGAACUGAGACACGGUCCAGACUCCUACGGGAGGCAGCAGUGGGGAAUUUUGGACAAUGGGGGCAACCCUGAUCCAGCCAUGCCGCGUGAGUGAAGAAGGCCUUCGGGUCGUAAAGCUCUUUCGGCCGGGAAGAAAUCGUAUGGGUUAAUACCCUGUGCGGAUGACGGUACCGGCAUAAGAAGCACCGGCUAACUACGUG
rnacentral:rRNA from 1 species